rnacentral:rRNA from 1 species
GAUGAACGCUGGCGGCGUGCCUAAUACAUGCAAGUCGAGCGAACAGACGAGGAGCUUGCUCCUCUGACGUUAGCGGCGGACGGGUGAGUAACACGUGGAUAACCUACCUAUAAGACUGGGAUAACUUCGGGAAACCGGAGCUAAUACCGGAUAAUAUAUUGAACCGCAUGGUUCAAUAGUGAAAUACGGUUUUGCUGUCUCUUAUAGAUGGAUCCUCGCCGCAUUAGCUAGUUGGUAAGGUAACGGCUUACCAAGGCAACGAUGCGUAGCCGACCUGAGAGGGGGAGAGGCCAAACUGGAAGAGAGACAAGGUACAGACAACUACGGGAGGAAGCAGAAGGGAAUGUUAGGCAAUGGGCGAAAGCAUGACGGAGCAAAGCAGCGUGAGAGAUGAAGGUCUUAGGAUCGUAAAACUAUGUUAUUAGGGAAGAAAAAAUGUGUAAGAAACUAAGAACGUAUUGACGGUACCUAAUCAGAAAGCAACGGCUAACUACGUG